rnacentral:rRNA from 1 species
AUGACCAUGCUUGGGAUGGCGCUCGGUGCCAGCCACACCGUGGGUGCGCCAGACGGGUCGUGGGACCUUCAGACAAACUACUCCCGGUGGGUUUCGAGAAUUAGGUUCACCACCGGCGAUGAGCUCAAGUUCCAGUACUCCGCUGUCGUGCACAACAUGGUGGAGGUGAGCAAGACGGGAUGUGACUCCUGCAACGGUUCCAGCCCCAUAGCAACUUUUCCGACCGGUAAUGAUGUUGUUCCGCUUGCCACUGUCGGGACCCGAUAUUUCAUCUGCGGCAUCUCCGGGCACUGUGACGCCGGCAUGAAGGUCGAGGUCAACGUCAAGUCGAAAGAAGUGCGGACAGUGAAGCGGUGCCGAUGA